UACGUAGGGUGCGAGCGUUGUCCGGAAUUAUUGGGCGUAAAGAGCUCGUAGGCGGUGUGUCGCGUCGGCCGUGAAAACUUUCAGCUUAACUGGGAGCUUGCGGUCGAUACGGGCAUCACUGGAGUUCGGCAGGGGAGACUGGAAUUCCUGGUGUAGCGGUGAAAUGCGCAGAUAUCAGGAGGAACACCGGUGGCGAAGGCGGGUCUCUGGGCCGAUACUGACGCUGAGGAGCGAAAGCGUGGGGAGCGAACAGG
rnacentral:rRNA from 1 species